ACUCCAUCUUUGCUGCUGACGCGUUAGCCAGUCCGCUAGAACAAAGCCUCUUACCGCUGCUUUGUCACUGGCGGCUAACGUUAACCACAGUCACCGGUGCGGGCCACAGCACAGAGUAGCUGGCAGCCCCGCCGUAAAGUGCGUCCCCGUCAGAAACGUUUUAACCGGUCACUUUGAGUGACUAUCAGAGUUUGUUUGUUGUUUGAAUUUGCUAACCCUCCCGCCCGCUAACAUUAGAGUUAGCUAGUUAGUCACGGUAGCCAAUUAGCUUAGCCUGCUAACGUCGCUAGCUGUUAACUGUGUUUCGCUCAGUUUGGUUGCUAAAUUAAUGUGAAGAUGGCUUUGAGUAGUUUCUAAACAAUGUGAUGAAGGGAGCCAUUAAUGUUAAGCGUCGUACCGCCGUAAAGUUUAAGCUUUCGUUGCAUUGAAAAGUUAGCUUAACAGGUCAAAAACUUGACCAUGCCUUGUCCACUUUUGAAUGAAUAGGCAGCACGAAGCCGCAGUUUGUAUCACUGCAAAUUGUCACAUGUAAAAACGGUGACUACAAGAGAGGAAUAAACUAGGACCAGACUGCUCCCUGUGUGUAUAGUAUUUGCUGUUUGUGGCAUGCCAGCUGGUGUUUUCCACUUUGCAGAGGCAACAUCAGUGCCUGCACUUGGCAAACUUACUGUCACCUGGCUGUUAAAGGUAUUACACAGCAAAAUAAGUGGACCAAGAUGGUUACUCUACAGAAAUUUUGUUUUGAGCUUUUCAAGCUUUCACUGUACAAGACACGAACUGUAAUUGCACAUCGAAGCUGCUAGGAGCCUUAGUUGAUUAAAUUAUCCAGAAUUUAUUAUAUACAUCGAGGACUUGUCACUGUUGUCUUUUAAGUCCAUGUUGUUAGUUAAAAGCUUUCUAUAAUAACUGAUCUCUUUAAAGAGUCACUUCAUCCUUAAACCUGGAGUGUUGUAUUGUCCUUUACAGUAAUAUCGGUGUGAUAUAUGUUUGGAGAUAUCAGCUAAAGCUCACGCUUGUAAUCACUUUUAUUUAUAUACCCCAAAAGUACAAAUCUGCCUCAAUCAGCUUUAUAAUCUGUGUAGCUUGUCAUAUACUUGAUCCUCAAACCCUCGACUCAGAUAAGAAAACUGUGUAGUAAGGUUGUAAGAUUUUUAAACUUCAAUACAAUAAUAGUACAAAAAAUAGAAAUCAUUUUAUUAACAACCUGCACACAGUGCUGGUACAGAAAAGGUCACUGAACACAUACCGACACAUUAGUAAUAAUGUUAAUAGUUACUAUUCUUGAAUGUUUUCCCUACCUUGUAGGCCUACACAUUCUUUAUGUCGUUAUUAUUGCUUUUAGUAUUAUUUCUUUUUUCUCUAAUGUUGCUUCACUUGUAAACACAGUACAGUGGUCUCUGUGAGUUUCCCCUGUAUAAAUACCUACUGUAGACAGCGGUUGGAGAAGCAGACAGGAGUACAACACAGAAGCUAAGCAAUGUACUGCUGUGGACGAGGUAAAAUUGUUGUUUUUGUCAAAGGAGUCUGGUGGUGGCUUUGGGGACAGCAAUGUAAGGCACUGCCUUACCUUCCCGUCUGACAGCAAGUGGCUAAAAUACGUUUUGUUGCUGCCUGUCCACAGCAGUGCAUUGCUUAGCUUCCGUGCUGGUACUCCUGUCUGCUUCUUCUGAAAACAUGUAUUCAGUGUUCAUCCAUUUGUAUCAGAAGUGUGAGCUGUAUGUUUGUUCUUGGUUUAUUUUUGCACAGUGUGAUAAGUUGUUGUUGACAUAAGACUGAAUUUCAGUUCAUAUAAAAUGAUGGCCAACAAGCACAAUGUUGGUUAAUUUGAAACUAUUUGACACACUGAAAGAUUUGCCAUGUUACUGAUAUGUUUUAGUUACAAAAAUUAGAGCUGCAACCAAUAAUUAUUUUUAUUAACGCUUAAUCUGCUGAUUGUUUUCUUGAUUUGCGCAUCAUCCGAAAGCCCAAGAUGACUUGUGCAGACACUAAAACACUCUCUACAAAAGUAACAUCGAAGUAACAAAAUACCCUUACAAGAAAUAAGUAUAAAUUAACUAGGAAGAGUUAAAAAAAAAAAAAAAAGGAGGGGGAAAACAACAACAACACAAUUGAACAGAAUCAGGUUAUCUUUACUUUGCUUAUUAAUCAAAAGGCAACCCUUGUUUAUCUUGUCUCAAGAUAUUGUAGAAGAGGUGCCCAAGAUGUUACCCAUGUGGACAGACAUUAUUUAAGUUAUUCCAAAUGUAUAACAGAAGUCAGUUCUAACCAUCUUUGGAUACAAGGUGGAUUUGUUGUCUUCCGGUCU